UUGAAUGAGAUAUGAUGUUGCAGAUAAAUUUUUUGAAGGAUGUAAAAAAAUGACAAGUAGUGGCAGAGAAUCAUUCUCAUGGAGUAGAUUUUCUUGAGUUCUCAGAGCAAGAACAUCCAUUUGUGGUUUUGACAGUUCUUAACAACAAUCCUGAGACUUUCGGUCCCGACCAUCGUCCAAUAGUGGAGUUUUCUCUUCAUAAUAUCCAAACAAUGAAGCUUCUCCAGAAGAUUCAGCAACAAUGUUUUAACACGAACAAAAAAGAUUUGUAGAAAAAUGACAAUACAACAACGCCACAGGAGAUGCAUUAUUAGUGGAAGGGAAUACCGACGAAGCUAAAAACAAGUGUGUCAGAGGUGCCAAUGAUGGAGAUCAACUGAAAAACAAAGGUGUUAAAGUAGCCAUCUCUGCAGAAGUAGACAAGCAGAAGAACAAGAAAGGUAAAAAGCUUAGAGGGGCAAAACAACAGCUAAAA